AAUUUUCCACAAUGGGCGCAAGCCUGAUGGAGCAACGCCGCGUGGGGGAUGACGAUCUUCGGCGUGUAAACACAUUUUCGGGAGGACGAAGGCAAUGACGGUACUCCCGGAAGAAGGACCGGCAAACUACGGUCCGGCAGCCGCGGUACGAGGGAGGGUCCGGGCGUUGUCCGGAGUUACUGGGCGUAAAGCGCGCGCAGGCCGUUGGUUGCGUCGGGUGUGAAAGCCCCCCGCUCAACGGGGGGGGGUCAUUCGAAACGGGCCAACUGGAGGCAGGGAGAGGUCGGUGGAAUUCCCGGUGUAGUGGUGAAAUGCGUAGAUAUCGGGAGGAACACCAGUGGCGAAGGCGGCCGGCUGGACCUGACCUGACGCUGAGGCGCGAAGGCGUGGGGAGCGAAC
rnacentral:rRNA from 1 species